UACAGGGGGUGCAAACGUUGCUCGGAAUCAUUGGGCGUAAAGCGCACGUAGGCGGUUCGUUAUGUCGGAUGUGAAAGCCCUUGGCUUAACCGAGGAAGUGCAUCCGAAACUGGCGAGCUAGAGUACUAAAGAGGAUCGCGGAAUUCCCGGUGUAGAGGUGAAAUGCGUAGAUAUCGGGAGGAACACCAGUGGCGAAGGCGACUUCCUGGCCUGUUCUUGACGCUGAGGCGCGAAAGCUAGGGGAGCAAACGGG
rnacentral:rRNA from 1 species